GGUUGUUGCUGGCCCCCAAACCGGGCACGUGCACGCCCUGUUUACGCAUCCACUCACACCUGUGCACCCUCUGUAGUUCUGUGGACCGGGAGACGUCGUCUUCCUUCCGUGGCUCUACGUCUUUACACACACGCCGUAGCGAAGUCUCAUGGAAUGUUUUUCGCGUUUAACGCAAUACAAUACAACUUUCAGCAACGGAUCUCUUGGCUCUCGCAUCGAUGAAGAACGCAGCGAAAUGCGAUAAGUAAUGUGAAUUGCAGAAUUCAGUGAAUCAUCGAAUCUUUGAACGCACCUUGCGCCCCUUGGUUAUUCCUCGGGGCAUGCCUGUUUGAGUAUCAUGAACACCUCAACUCUCGUGGUCUUCCAUGAUGAGCUUGGACUUUGGGGGUUUGCUGGCCCUGUGGCCGGCUCCUCUCAAACGAAUCAGCUUGCCAGUGUUUGGCGGCGUCACGGGUGUGAUAACCAUCUACGCUUGCGAUCGCCUGCCAGAUAACCCUCAGCGAUGAAGGUUCAUUGGGGCUYACAAAAGUCUCUCCACRGCGAGGACGAAUUUUGAAUGUUCGAUCUCAAAUCAGGUAGGACUACCCGCUGAACUUAAGCAUAUCAAUAAGCGGAGGAAAAGAAACUAACAAGGAUUCCCCUAGUAACUGCGAGUGAAGCGGGAAGAGCUCAAAUUUAAAAUCUGGCGUGCCUCCGGUCGUCCGAAUUGUAGUCUGGAGAAGCGUUUUCCGUGCUGGACCGUGUACAA
rnacentral:rRNA from 1 species